GAUUUUAAAAAUAAGUAUUGGGGCUGAUGUGUUUAAUGCCCGCCCCAUGGGGCUCCUGGGCCCAUAACUCAGUAGCACAAUGGCCUUUCUUGUUAUGAAUGAGUGUGAGGUGCCAGCAGAGGAAAUAGGAAGCCCCCAAUAUAGUCUGAAUGGACCUGUGAACAGGGAUAAUAAAAGUUGUCCUGGAUUUCCGUCCCCACCAGGUGUUUCCGCCAGGACUUCCAUCCAUUCAGGCUCGGGAUGGCCGCUGGGGCCAAAUCAUCCCCCGCCCAGCCCUGGCCCCUUGCCCCGUGCCCGUGACCUCACCGUGUUCACCAGAUGCCCCUCGGGCCUGGGCUCCCGGGACUCUGUGAUGAGCAUGGCUUCAUCCCUAUGGCCCCAGCUCUGUGAGAUCUGUUCUGAAGGAGAUGGUGAGGGGUGGGAGAGAGAAGGUGGUCACCAGAUGACAGCUCCCCCAGGUCUGUCGCCCCCUCAUUCUCCAUAGGAGAUGCUCAGGAGAGGGGAUCCAGUUGCACAUGGAGACAGGUGGCCACAGGUGAUGGGGGGCAGAGACACUGGAGUCAAGAGGGCCUUGGCAAAGCAGGGAGGACUGGAUUAGAAGCUGAGGAGGAGCAUCCAUCUGCCUGCAGGAGCUAAGGCAUAGCCACGCCAGGGGAACACUGCAGCAGUCAGAGCUAGGAGCCUGCAGGCUGCCGCCUCCAACUCGCCCUGUGACCUUGAGCUCAUCAAUUGCCUCGCCAAAGCUGGCCCUUAGUUCCCAAACAAGGAGGUGGGGAUGGCCUGCUCACCCAGUGCUACCUGAAAUGAUCCCAAACCAGAUUCCACACAGGACGCAAUCUGCAGAAUCACACACACAUCUGCGGAAUCACACACACAUCUGCGGAAUCGCACACACAUCUGCAGAAUCGCACACACGUCUGCAGAAUCGCACACACGUCUGCAGAAUCACACACACAUCUGUGGAAUUGCACACAGGGAAAGGGAGGCUUUGUUCACGUGAACCAGGCAGGACACACAGAUGAGCAAAGUCGACCUGGCACAAGGCCUCAGGGAGGAAUGAGGGCCAUAGGGCAUGGGUCCACCACCCUCCUACAGAUGUCCACGGUCUGUGUAUUGCAACACCAUGCAGGCCCCGGAACAUAUACCUGCUACCAGCAGAUGGUUUGCAACACACACUAGCUGAAUGGACAAGAGAUCUUGGACCACCCAUAGUUCUGACCUGCUCAGGGAACCGGUCAUUCAUCCCCCAGCCCAGGUAAGAAGGUUUACCUCCAGAGAGCCUCUCUUGACUGCCCCACCUGGGGGACCCUGCUUCGUGUAUAUGGAUAGCUCACCCCAUAGUCCCUAAGAACAUUUUAUAGGCACAACUUGUGUUAUUAUUCUUCACUUUAUGCACUUCAUAGCUAUUUCAUUUUUUUUACAAAUUGAAGGUUUGUGGCAACCAUGCAUCAAACAAGUCUAUCAGUGCCAUUUUUCCAACAGCAUGUUCUUACUUCAUUAGCAUUUUUAGCAAUAACGUAUUUUCAAAUUAAGGUAUGUGCCAGGCCUCUGAGCCCAAGCUAAACCAUCAUAUCCCCUGAGAC
rnacentral:lncRNA from 1 species